rnacentral:tRNA from 1 species
GGAGCAAUACUCAAGUUGGCUGAAGAGACUGGUUUCGAAAACCAGCAGUAGGGCCCACCCUAGCAAGGGUUCGAAUCCCUUUUGCUCCG